rnacentral:lncRNA from 1 species
GUAAGUCCAGCCCGAGGCUAAGGUGUUAACCACCGAAGGGAGGUAGAAUGUUUUUCCCCACCAGAGGAGGCAGCGACCACGUCUCCUCUAUGGAGGCAUUCAAGAGCCGUCCAGCUGAAGCAGCAUCACUGUCUGAGCUCGGAAGGCACAAUCCACAUAGGUCUGCAUGGUCCACCGAGCUGCAUACCCACGGGGCCAGCGGGAGGUGGGCAGCUGCUGGGCUCUCUUCUGAAGCAGGGUCUUGCUCUGUCACCCAGUCUGGAAUGCAGUGGUGCCAUCAUAGCUCACUACAGCCUGAGCUGUACUGAGCUCGAGGGAUCUUCCCGUCUCCGCCUCCUAAGCAGCUGGGACUACAGAGUCUCCAGAGAGACUUUCCAACUUCAAAUCACACUGAAAAGACCGAAGCCAGCCAGGCGCAGUGGCUCACACCUGUAAUCCCAGCACCUUGGGAGGCCGAGGCGGGUGGAUCACUUGAGGUCAGGAGUUCGAGACCAGCCUGGCCAACAUGGUGAAACCCCGUCUCUACUAAAAAUAUAAAAAUUGUCUGGGCGUGGUGGCGGGCAUCUGCAAUCCCAGCUACUAGG